rnacentral:rRNA from 1 species
CAGGCUUAACACAUGCAAGUCGAGGGGUAACAUAGAGAAGCUUGCUUUUCUGAUGACGACCGGCGCACGGGUGCGUAACGCGUAUAGAAUCUACCUUAUACUGAGGGAUAGCCUUUGGAAACGAAGAUUAACACCUCAUAGUAUAUCGACUCGGCAUCGAGAUGAUAUUAAAGGUUACGGUAUAAGAUGACUAUGCGUUCUAUUAGCUAGAUGGUGUGGUAACGGCACACCAUGGCUACGAUAGAUAGGGGCCCUGAGAGGGGGAUCCCCCACACUGGUACUGAGACACGGACCAGACUCCUACGGGAGGCAGCAGUGAGGAAUAUUGGACAAUGGAGGCAACUCUGAUCCAGCCAUGCCGCGUGCAGGAUGACUGCCCUAUGGGUUGUAAACUGCUUUUAUACAGGAAGAAACCUCUCCACGUGUGGAGAGCUGACGGCACUGUAAGAAUAAGGAUCGGCUAACUCCGUGCCAGCAGCCGCGGUAAUACGGAGGAUCCAAGCGUUAUCCGGAAUCAUUGGGUUUAAAGGGUCCGUAGGUGGAUAAUUAAGUCAGAGGUGAAAGUUUGCGGCUCAACCGUAAAAUUGCCUUUGAUACUGGUUAUCUUGAAUCAUUGUGAAGUAGUUAGAAUAUGUAGUGUAGCGGUGAAAUGCAUAGAUAUUACAUAGAAUACCAAUUGCGAAGGCAGAUUACUAACAAUGUAUUGACACUGAUGGACGAAAGCGUGGGGAGCGAACAGGAUUAGAUACCCUGGUAGUCCACGCCGUAAACGAUGGUCACUAGCUGUUCGAGCUUCGGUUUGAGUGGCUAAGCGAAAGUGAUAAGUGACCCACCUGGGGAGUACGUUCGCAAGAAUGAAACUCAAAGGAAUUGACGGGGGCCCGCACAAGCGGUGGAGCAUGUGGUUUAAUUCGAUGAUACGCGAGGAACCUUACCAGGGCUUAAAUGUAAAUUGACAGGUUUAGAGAUAGACUUUUCUUCGGACAAUUUACAAGGUGCUGCAUGGUUGUCGUCAGCUCGUGCCGUGAGGUGU